GUGAAGAAGUCAGCUCUGCUAGUAGUCGGUCGCGAGGCCGGCGAACGCCGGGCUGGGCUUGGAGCGACCUUUGAGAACGGACCUCAGAUCAGGUAGGACUACCCGCUGAACUUAAGCAUAUCAUA
rnacentral:rRNA from 1 species